rnacentral:rRNA from 1 species
GAAAUGCGAUACGUAGUGUGAAUUGCAGAAUUCCGUGAACCAUCGAAUUUUUGAACGCAUAUUGCGCUCAAGGCCUCGGCUAAGAGCAUGUCUGCCUCAGCGUCGGGUUCUCCGUCUCAUACCCAAUGUAAUUACACUGGGUUGUGAGGAUCUAUCGCAGUCUCUCGUCUCCGGACUAGAGUCUGCCCAAGUAAUAUGUGGUGCUUCUUAGCGUGGAUGCAAUCAUUUGAUUCGUCCUAACCCAAGCCGCACUCGAGUACUCAUCUAGUAUGUUUCUCGACUUCGACAGCUUGCGCUUUGAUCCUUGACACUUGUGUCAAGACUCGUCACCCAUUUAUUGGAAACCCAACACUUCUCGACCUGAGCUCAGGCA